rnacentral:rRNA from 1 species
CUCGGCUCUCGCAUCGAUGAAGAACGUAGCGAAAUGCGAUACUUGGUGUGAAUUGCAGAAUCCCGUGAACCAUCGAGUCUUUGAACGCAAGUUGCGCCCCAAGCCUUCGGGCCGAGGGCACGUCUGCCUGGGUGUCACAAAUCGUCGUCCCCAUCCUUUGAGGA